rnacentral:rRNA from 1 species
CAAUAGCGUAUAUUAAAGCUGUUGCGGUUAAAAAGCUCGUAGUUGGAUUUCUGUCAAGUACAACUGGUCCGCCCUCCGGGUGAGCACAUAGUUUGGUCUUGGCAUCUUGCUGGAAAUUGUUGCUGCACUUGGCUGUGUGGCGCAGUGUCCAGCACUUUCACUUUGAGGAAAUUGGAGUGUUUCAAGCAGGCAAUGCCUUUGAACACAGUAGCAUGGAAUAAUUAGAUUGGGCUUUUGCUCCAAUUUGUCGGUUUCUGGAGCUGAGGUGAGAAUUAAUGGGGAUUGUUGGGGGCAUCCGAAUUUAGCCGUCAGAGGUGAAAUUCUUGGAUUUACGGAAGACGAACAUCUGCGAAAGCAUUUGCCAAGGAUGUUUUCAUUGA